rnacentral:rRNA from 1 species
CCUACGUGUGGCAGCAGUGAGGAAUAUUGGUCAAUGGGCUUACGCCUGAACCAGCCAAGUCGCGUGAGGGAAGACUGCCCUAUGGGUUGUAAACCUCUUUUGUCAGGGAGCAACGCCGGCUACGUGUAGCCGGACUGAGAGUACCUGAAGAAAAAGCAUCGGCUAACUCCGUGCCAGCAGCCGCGGUAAUACGGAGGAUGCGAGCGUUAUCCGGAUUUAUUGGGUUUAAAGGGUGCGUAGGCGGAAUGCCAAGUCAGCGGUAAAAUCGCGGGGCUCAACCUCGCUCCGCCGUUGAAACUGGCGUGCUUGAGUGGGCGAGAAGUAGGCGGAAUGCGUGGUGUAGCGGUGAAAUGCAUAGAUAUCACGCAGAACUCCGAUUGCGAAGGCAGCAUGCCGGAGCGCAACUGACGCUGAAGCACGAAAGCGUGGGUAUCGAACAGGAUUAGAUACCCUAGUAGUC